CGCUCGGCUGUCCGGCUCCUGCUCUUCAGCCUGUGCCACGAGCGGCAGCCGAGACCUCGUCAGACGUGACGGGCUGGGCCGGCAACCCGCGUGCGGGACCGCCUCCCGUAGCCCCAAUGCCCCGGCGGGAGGAGAGCCGUGAGGGUGUCCGCCUGGCGAGUGCGGCCAGAACACCGGUCACUGUUUUCUGUGCGCACGUUGCAAGGACCGUGUGUGAGUCUGAGCCGGCUUUAGCAUUUACCCCUCUGCUGAUGAAGUCCCUAUGGAAGAAAGGUAUAAUUUGACCUCCUGAGAUUCUGUCUUAGCAAGAAGAAAGUGGAAAAUACUCUUGGAAAGAAAACUAAGACAUUAAGAAAGCCAGAACUUAUUUUUAC
rnacentral:lncRNA from 1 species